CCUACGGGAGGAGCAGUGGGGAAUAUUGGACAAUGGGCGAAAGCCUGAUCCAGCCAUGCCGCGUGUGUGAAGAAGGCCUUCGGGUUGUAAAGCACUUUCAGUGGGGAAGAAAGCCUUGGGGCUAAUACCCUCGAGGAAGGACAUCACCCACAGAAGAAGCACCGGCUAACUCCGUGCCAGCAGCCGCGGUAAUACGGAGGGUGCGAGCGUUAAUCGGAAUUACUGGGCGUAAAGCGCGCGUAGGCGGUCUGAUAAGCCGGUUGUGAAAGCCCCGGGCUCAACCUGGGAACGGCAUCCGGAACUGUCAGGCUAGAGUGCAGGAGAGGAAGGUAGAAUUCCCGGUGUAGCGGUGAAAUGCGUAGAGAUCGGGAGGAAUACCAGUGGCGAAGGCGGCCUUCUGGACUGACACUGACGCUGAGGUGCGAAAGCGUGGGUAGCAAACAGGAUUAGAUACCCCGGUAGUC
rnacentral:rRNA from 1 species